rnacentral:snRNA from 1 species
GCCGCUCCGGCGGUACAUAUACUAAAAUUGGAACGAUAUAGAGAGGAUUAACAUGGACCAUGAGCAAGGAAGGCACGCGAUACCGUGAAGCGUUCCAUAUAGCU